AGUUAUACCAGUCACAGCCGGCUACUGUUAUUACAGCGCUUACUACUCCUACUACUAUUGUGAUUCCUCUUAUUCAUUUCCAGCUGGUGCUAUUCCAGGGAUAGUUAUUGGUUGUAUUAUCUUUGGAGUUAUAGUUUUUGUGGUUGUAUGCAAGCAGGUGAAAACCAGUGGGAACAGAGGUACCGUUGUACAUCCGACGAUAAGAAUAGCUACUGUCCAGGCUCCACCUCCAGUGCCAUCAUUUCCAAAUCAGCCAGCCGGGAUCAGUUAUCCCCCACCACCAGGACAGAAUAUAGCAUACCCACCUCCUCCCCAAGGACAGUUUGGUUACCCACAACCCCCUCCUCCUCAGGGACCGUUUGGUUACGCACAACCUCCUCCUCCACCAGCUUACGGAGGUUAUGGGGCACCACCACCGCAGUAUUAGACAUUAAUGUAAAGGAAAGAUAAGCAAAACUUAAAGAAGUCUUCAAGAUACACAAAUUCUCAAAUUUAUCAAGAGGAUGAUUACUGCUAUGCGCUGUGUUGAUGACGUAUGUUUUCUGAAAUAUUUCCCAUAUGCCUUAAGCAGGACACAAUUGUCGACUAAAAAUCUGUUACACUGUAACACAUAACGAUAUUGUUCAUACUGAGAACAGGAAAACACACUGUAAAAAUAUCUCUCAUAUUAGGAACAGGAAGAGAUUGUAAUAACCUUUGCAUAGGAUCAAAGUUGACUAUAUGUUGUGAUUGUCGAAUCCUUUACUAUAACAAAGAUCGGCGACAAAGAGCACAUUCAAGUUAUUACGUCAAAAAUACUAACAAGACAGCGAAUUGCAUUGAGAUUAGACUGCAAUUUUUAAAAGUGUUUUUUGAUCACAGUUAAAUAUAAAAAAAAAAAAAAAAAAUAAAAA